GCAGGGCAAUUGAUGUUUGUCUGGAUUUUUGCUACCUAGAAUGUUACUUUUAUGUUACUUUUGUUGCUCUUAUUACUGCAAGGCUGAAUAGAGUCUUCCUUGAUUGCCUAUACAAACAUAGAUGAUUUUGAAAGAAUUGGAAACGACAUUUAUUUUUUGGCUUUGGAAUAUAUUUUUGACUGCAGGAAAAAUGUCAUAUCUCAAUUGGGAGAGGUUGAAGAAGAAUAGGGUCAAAGCCGAAGUUCGACAUGGAGAGAUUAUCUCUUUUGAGCUUGGAGGAGUACUUAAAUUUGAUUCUAGAUGAUGCUAGAAAAGUCAACAUCAAGAGGAAGAGAAAAAAACUUUACAUGGGUUCAUUUUCUCAUUUUCCUUUACUUUUAAUCUCUUAAAUGUGCAUACUCUGAAUGUGGUACAUCUAUUUUGUUAUGGGUCAAUUACAUAAAUAAAAAAAAAAAAAAAAAAUGUAAAGGGUAGAUUCUUCUUAAGAGAUGCAACACAACAACCACCUCAUUGUAUGUAAGAGAUUCUUCUA